rnacentral:rRNA from 1 species
UUGCACAAUGGGCGGAAGCCUGAUGCAGCGACGCCGCGUGGGGGAUGACGGCCUUCGGGUUGUAAACUCCUUUCACCAUCGACGAAGGUUUUCUGGCGGUAGAUGGAGAAGAAGCACCGGCUAACUACGUGCCAGCAGCCGCGGUAAUACGUAGGGUGCGAGCGUUGUCCGGAAUUACUGGGCGUAAAGAGCUCGUAGGUGGUUUGUCGCGUCGUCUGUGAAAUUCCGGGGCUUAACUCCGGGCGUGCAGGCGAUACGGGCAUAACUUGAGUACUGUAGGGGAGACUGGAAUUCCUGGUGUAGCGGUGAAAUGCGCAGAUAUCAGGAGGAACACCGGUGGCGAAGGCGGGUCUCUGGGCAGUAACUGACGCUGAGGAGCGAAAGCAUGGGUAGCGAACAGGAUUAGAUACCCUGGUAGUCCAUGCCGUAAACGGUGGGCGCUAGGUGUAGGGGUCUUCCACGACUUCUGUGCCGUAGCUAACGCAUUAAGCGCCCCGCCUGGGGAGUACGGCCGCAAGGCUAAAACUCAAAGGAAUUGACGGGGGCCCGCACAAGCGGCGGAGCAUGUGGAUUAAUUCGAUGCAACGCGAAGAACCUUACCUGGGCUUGACAUGUACGGGACCGCCGCAGAGAUGUGGCUUCCCUUGUGGCUCGUAUACAGGUGGUGCAUGGUUGUCGUCAGCUCGUGUCGUGAGAUGUUGGGUUAAGUCCCGCAACGAGCGUAACCCUUGUCUUAUGUUGCCAGCACGUAAUGGUGGGGACUCGUGAGAAACUGCCGGGGUCAACUCGGAGGAAGGUGGGGAUGACGUCAAAUCAUCAUGCCCCUUAUGUCCAGGGCUUCACACAUGCUACAGUGGUCGGUACAGUGGGUUGCGAUACCGUGAGGUGGAGCUAAUCCCUUAAAGCCGGUUYCAGUUCGGAUCGGGGUCUGCAACUCGACCCCGUGAAGUCGGAGUCGCU